rnacentral:tRNA from 1 species
UGUUUGAAACAAAAUAUUGUAAUCAGUUUCGACCUGAUAUUUAAGUUAAUUCAAUUUAACUCAAACAU